rnacentral:misc_RNA from 1 species
AUUUGACUCCCAUAACACGCUUGUUCAUGUAAUUUCCAUUCUGUAAUACUAUGAUUUAAGAGGAACUUUUGUCUUUUGGGAAAUCUGUUCAAGCAUGGGAAACGUAUGUAACUGGAUGAGUUAUGUUUUAGGCUUUAGCCUUAAUUAAUUACACGUCAUAGCUGUUACUUAGAUACUUUUCUACAAACCCAUCAAUAGUCAAUACAAGGAGAGGCUGAAUGAUUAUUUAUGCACUUCUUGUCCGGAAUCAAUUAUGUGUAUUGCCCAAUUCUGAGAUCUGUUUUGUGGCUAAAAUAUCAGUUAAGAGGCCAUGAAUAACUUGUUAUUUUUCCUUUCUCAAGUAGCUAGUGGGAGAGAUUAUUUAGUGAACCAAAGUACUAAAUAAUAGUGUUCCUCAUACUCACAUAUAUAUGUUAGGCCUGUCACUAAUUAAGGGAAAUAGAUUCACAUUUAUGUGUGUGAAGAGUACUGCCUCUAGUGUAAGUUAUAAUUUCUCUACACGGGGAGAUGAAGUAAAAUCAAAUAAGACAAAAAUAAAUUGGCAAAUGAAAGGAAAUUUUGCAAGAUUUAAUAUGUUUGUUGGUUGGAUUCAGAGAAUGAAUUAAUAAAGAUUGAGUAAUAUGGG